rnacentral:lncRNA from 1 species
GCAGAUAUGAGGCUCUGCUAGCCACUAACCACUAAUUCUACCAUGUUUUGAAUAAACAUUCAGGAAAGUAGGUGUCUUGAUUUGUUCCCCUGUCAUUUAAUUACUACAAAUAAACAUGACUUCCUCCUUUGUCUACAAAUGCUCUUCUUUUGAAAACCAAAGAUCUUGACCAGGAUACUUUUACUAGGCAACCUGUGCUUUGCUAACAGCAAUAUGAUCUAUCACUUAUAUUGUAAAUGUUUUUAGUUUACAAAUACUACGCAUACAUUCCACUCAAAUACUCUGAAGUCAAGAUGGGAUUUGCCCAAGGUUGUGUAGUAAACAGCAGCAGAGUCACUAAAACUCUGUUUUAAUGACUUAAGGUCAUUUGCUGCCCCAUGACACCGCUUGAUCUGGAAAGUGUCUUCGCCUAGGCAGUUUGCCAGAAGAGGGAGAGAAGAAAUUAAAGAGACCAGAUAACUUUGCAUUUGGUAAAGAACAAAUCUGUCUCUCUUAGGCAGGAGUGAAGAGGAUGAGAUUCUUGUGUGUGGCUGGAGUGCAGUGGCACGAUCUGGAUUCACUGCAUCCUCGACCUCCCAAGCUCAAGCGAUCCUCUCACCUCAGCAUCUGAGUAGCUGGGACAACAGGCGCCACACCACCACACCCGGAAUUUAGUGUCAAGUGGGAAGAUGCAGAAUGUUCGUAAUUAACUACAGUAUUACAUGAAAUAGAAUGUGUUACCUGCCAAAAUAGAGAUCUACAGUGCAAAGAGACAAAAAGGCAUUGAUAAACCUUGGCUGUUGCUUCAAAUAUAAAUGAUUCUAGAACAUCAGAAUAACUAGUAACAGUAAGAUUACUCAAAUAAGCAAAUAAAAUCAAAGAAGCUCCUGGUUCCUGGCACACAGCUCCUAACACCAUUGGAAUCUCUGGAGUGAAAAGAGUGUCUUUUGUAAGUGAAUGAGAUGACUGAAGGUCGGGGGCCUGUAGAUAGCCCCUUCUCCUAUACCUCGACCUAUACAUCUCUUCCAUGUUUCUUUCAUCUGUAUGCUUUGUAACAUUCUUUAUAAUAAACAAGUAAGUGUAAGUGCUUCCUGAGUUCUGUGAGCUGCUCUAGCAAAUCAGUUGAACCUGAAGAAGGGGUCUUGGGAACCCCUGAUUUACGGCUGGUCGGUCAGAAGCACAGGUAAAACAACUGGGGGCUUGCAGCUGGCAUCUGAGGUGAGGGGAAGCCUUGUGGAACUUAGCGCUUGGCAUGUGGGAUCUGAUACUCUCUCUAGGUAGAUAGCAUCAGAGUGGAACUGAGAGAGGACACCCCGCUGCUGUCUGCUGGAGAACUGAUUGGUGUGUGGAAUCUGGUUUUAGAAGUAUUAUAUUGAGUGGUAUGUGAAAGUAGGAAACACACUUCAUUUUUUUUCCAUCUUUAUAAUAUUUACAUAGUUUUCCGGCACUUCUGGGUAUAGCUAUUUCUAGCUAUUUGAAUGUAGGAAAUGCUUCCAAGAAUGCCUCUCACUUUUUAAAAAAAUUGAGAGAUAACUCACAUACCAUAAAAUUGACCUUUAAAGUAUACAGUCCAGUGGUUUUAGUAUAUUCACAAGAUUGUGCAACUAUCACAACUAAUUCUAGAACAUUGUCAUUACCCCCUACAAAGAAUUCCAUUAGUAGUCACUGCCCAUUCUUCCUUCCCCCACUGCCAGCUUCUCCAUUUUAAUCUACUCCUAUUUUUUUGUCUCUAUGGAUGUGCCUAUCCUGGACUUUUCAUAUAAAUAGAACCAGCCAGGUGUAGUGGCUCAUGCCUGUAAUCCCAGCACUUUGGGAGGCUGAGACAGGCAGAUCACACAAGGCCAGGAGUUCGAGACCAGCUUGGGCAACAUGGUGAAACCCCGUCUCCACUAAAAAUGCCAAAAUUAGCCAGGUGUGGGUGGUGCACGUCUGUAAUCCCAGCUACUCGGGAGGCUGAAGCAUGAGAAUUGCUUGAACCCAGGAGGUGGAUGUUGUAGUGAACCCAGAUUGUGCCGUUGCACUCCAGCCUGCGUGACAGAGCAAGACCUUCUGUGUCUGGCUUCUUUCUGUUAGCACAUUUGCAAGAUUCAUUUAUGUUAUACCAUGAGUCAAUACUUUAUUCCUUUUUAUGGUUGAAUAAUAUUCCAUUUCAUUUCUCCAUUCAUCAGUUGAUGGACACUUGGGUUGCUUCCAGAAAUAUUCUCUCUGACCAACGUGUUAACUAACCCAAUGAGAAGGUCUAGGGCCAGAGGGAGUAUCAUACUAUGAACAAGGUCCAGGAUGCCUGAUGUUAGAAGUGUGAGGGUUGUGGAGAAAGAACAAGUUUGAAAUACCCGGAGUCAGAAGCUGCCAUGAUGCAGGAAUGACUAAAUCUAUCUUUUCUCUCUAUAGAAAAUGAAAUUGCAAAAUUGUUGUUAAGUGAAGAGAUUAUCAAAAUAUUUACAGUUCCCAAAUGUAGAAAACAUGGAGGUGUCAGAUAGUUAAGAUAUCUUGUUUUUCUGAGUUUCGAUAUAUUUUUAGUAAUUAUCAGUUUUUUCAAAAUGUGUAACUUAUGGUUUAUCUUCCUUUAUUUAUUUAUUUAUUGUUAUUAUUCUUUAGAGAUGGAGUCUCGCUCUGUCACCCAAGCUGGAGUGCAGUGGCGUGAUCUCUGCUCACUGCAAGCUCUACCUCCCAGGUUCACACCAUUCCCUUGCCUCAACCUCCUGAGUAGCUGGGACUACAGACACCCGCCACCACGCCCAGCUAAUUUUUUUGUAUUUUUAAU